rnacentral:rRNA from 1 species
UACAGAGGGUCUCAAGUCGUUGAUUCGGAUCAUUGGGCGUAAAGGGUGCGUAGGCGGCGCGGUAAGUCGGGUGUGAAAUCUCGGAGCUUAACUCCGAAACUGCAUUCGAUACUGCCGUGCUUGAGGACUGGAGAGGAGACUGGAAUUUACGGUGUAGCGGUGAAAUGCGUAGAUAUCGUAAGGAAGACCAGUGGCGAAGGCGGGUCUCUGGACAGUUCCUGACGCUGAGGCACGAAGGUCAGGGGGAGCAAACGGG